rnacentral:lncRNA from 1 species
CACCUACUCAGCUCUAUUACAUGUUGGAAAAACUGAACCAGAGAAACAAUUACAUACACUCUUGUCUUCUGGAAAAGCUGAAUUGGGUUUUGGUCUGAAUCAAUAGGACCCAUUAUACAGGCUGCCUUUCCAGCUCUCCAAUCAUACUUCCAAGAAAACUGCUCACUCUCAGAACCAAGGUUCAAGUUGUACAUUGGGAUUUGGGUAGAGGCUAUAUAUACAGUGAUGCCCAUCUACCCCUGAGAUCUAAAAAUCUAAGAUGAAAACGAGCACACAGUCUUGGCAGCAUUGGGGUAACAGACUAUGAAAGAAGAAAUCAGAUUGGAAAAUUCAGUAUAUCAAUGAAGAAAAUAAUCACUCAAGGAGAGGAAUAAACAGCAAAACAAUCUA